UUGUCCUGCCAUUAUCUACCCUUGUAAAGAUUUGACUCCCCUCCUGUUUUUAGUCUCCUUAUAGGUACUGGGAGGCAGCAAUGAGGUCACCCCACAGCAUUCUCUUCUCCAAGCUGAACAAGCACAGCUCUCUCAGCCUGUCUUCAUAGGGGAGGUGCUGCAGCUCUCUGAUCAUCGUGGAAAGCAUGGUGCUGUUGGCCCUACGCAAUUGGACUGCAGACAAAUUAAUUCAAUCAGUACAUCCAGAUAACAAGUAAACUGCCUUUUCACUGCCACUGAAUCAUAGAACAAUAUAAUGGUUUGUGUUGGAAGGGACCUUAGAGAUCAUCCAAUUCCGACAGGAAUUGGACAAUGGACAGGGCUGCCACCCACUAGAUCAGGCUGGCCAGGAAGAUACCAUGUUCUACAGCACAGAGACCAUAAGCAUACUUAAAUUGCAAAAAAUGCAUUUUUUAUUUAUUUUCUAUCAAAUUAACUUAUAGAAGAUGGUCUGCAACUUCUUUUAUAUAUUACUCUUUUCUGUUUUUACACAUUUGUACACAGAAAAUAUUAUGACAAGUUAGUGGUCCCGAGAAGGCAAAACUAAGCACUCAAAAAUUUAGAAAAUACCCAACUAAAUUCAACUGUGAAAUGCCAAUUUGGACUGUUGCAAAUGUAAUUGCAAAAGGUAAUGACACUCUCUUGGCUCAUAGAGGCACAUAUUACGCUGCCCACAGGACUUUUUGCAUUGUUUGUUAAACACUUCAUUUCAGCUUUCAUUUUGAAUGCAUUAUUCCAUACUCAAGUUACUAUACAGCUCUCAUUCUGAAGUCAGAAUUACUAAUUUUUUCAUUUUUCCUGUGGCAUUGAGGUAUCUGCAAAUACUGCUUUGUUUUUUAUGACGUACACCACCUCUCUUUCACACAGUGAAGUAAGGACAUGUUUUACCCUCCUUUAAGAGAAGAACUGACAUACAGUCACUGAAGUCCAGGACAGCAUUAUCAGAGAGAUUGAGACCCUUAGAUUUUCCAGAUAUAAUCACGAGCUGUUCAUGAUACAUAGAGAUUCCAUCAGCACCAGCAAGCUUCUUUCAUGGCUGAGAAUCCAUCAAAGCCUCUGGAUGAGGCAGUUGGUGACCAAUUUUCGUAGAGGAAGUGCCCAUCCGUACAGACCAGAAAACACAGAGAGACCAACUGCAUGGCAUUUCUGCCAUGGCACCAGCACGAUUCAUGCUUGAAAAGCUCCUCUUUUGCCAGGAAACAGGAAAGAGCUGAAAUAAAUAGGAUUGCAUGCUAAAACCACAUCAUAAAGGGAUUGGAAGGGAAGUAGGCAAAGAAAAGUGUUCAAGAAACUCAGUUCUGGCAGUUUCUGAGGCUUAAGUUUGUCCUUUCCCUGCUGUUUUGGUCCUGUGAUUUACUACACAAUUACAGCAGUGUGAAAGCAGAACUGUGCUCCCAGCACAGGAAGCUCCAUUGCAAAGCAUCCAAGUGACGCACCCUGAGCCACCAUCAGGCCUCUGCCUCCAGGCCCAGUGCAGGCCGCACAAAGCAGCAAAGAGCUGUGACUGCACAACAAGGCACAGAGUCAUGUCCCUGAGAUUCAGGCUGGGGGUGGUCUGACGUAGCCAGGCUGUUAGUGUAUGCAGUCAGCAGGUCUCUAAGGGUGUGCUGUGCUUCCUCACCACACCUGACAUGCAGCCUUUGUUGCAAUUUCUGCUUUUGGAAACGAAGUGCACUACUUUCUCUCAUAUAUACACACAUCUUCAUAUAAUCAAAAGAAGAUUAGCUGUCCAUUUUUCCUGAGCAAAAUCAGACUACAUGUACAUUUAAGAAGUCACUUCACCAGCCACUGACAUCCAUCCAUUUUGAGCCUAAAGUGUGGUAGAUUUGUAAGGGACCAUCUUUGCACACAGGUUGUUCCCAGUGGAGGUCAAUGCAUCAAGUUUCAAAAGUGGGGCCAUAACAUUAUGCAGGAGACAGCAGUCAGGAUCAGCAUGGAAAGCUAGACCAGCGAUAGGUUGUUGCCAAACAUUGAGAUUCCCCCGGACCCUCUUUUCCCACCUAUUUUCUCCUCUUUCUGCCUCCAAGUGUUUCCUUCUACCAACCACACAGCCUCCAUCUCUCCUUCUCAGAGUUACAACUUUCCUCUUCUGUGAAGAGCACCUGUCUGAACUUAAUCUCUAGAUGAGGAGAUCAGAUACUAUUUACAAAACUGCUGCAGGAGUACACCCAUGCAAAAAAUACAAGUUAGAAAGCUCUCAGCUGUAGAAGUAGGCCUGCAGGAAAAUCACAUAAAGUCUGAUUGCACUGAUACUAAAUUAUUAUGGUAGUUUGAAGUUUUAUGAAGCAGUAGUUCUAAUAAUGUCAUUCUAGUACUCUGUACUUAGAGUAUAGUUACCAUCUGGGGAAAAAUAACGUUCCUUCAUCGAUGUGGCAAAAAACUCUUUCAUAUCAAAGCUAUUGCCUUUAGUGAAUAUGUAUAAAUGAAAAACUGAAACCUAAUAAUAUAUACAGCUAGGUAGAUUACAUUGCUUACCAUGAAAUAAUGGAAUGCGCUUUGGUGCUUCUGGUUUCAACAGAGAAGGGAAGAAUUCAAAUUCUUAUUAAUGAUUAGUAUUCUUCAUGUGUAAAUGACAUCAAACUGCCAAUCAAAUCAUGUUAUCACUCUAAGGAUGAAGUACUGAACUAAACAGUUUGCAGAUUGUUUAUUAUCUGUCUCACAACUAUCCUAAGCUCAUAUGUAGCUUUAGUUCCUACGAUAUUCCCCAAAGAUUAUAGAAUCAACUUGAGUGGCAACUUGGGUACUUUUAGUGAUUCACAGACUUAUAGGACAGUCUAGACCAAAUUCCAGACUAAAUUAAUUUUAUCAGUUAAGAAUAAGUGGGGCAAACAUUAAGAUACACAACAUAUUGGCUGAAUUGCUGAUAAAAUGGAAUCUUUUUUAGGGUUAUUGCUUGACUGCAUACUGUUGACUAUUAGUUUUGGAAUGUAUUUCAUCUUCUCAGUUAUACUCUAUUGUAUUGGAAAGGUUUUUUGCUAGAACUAGAAACACAAAAAUGUUUGGGUCCCACAGACCCCUAAACUCCUGCUCACCUGCUGAAGACUCCUGCUCACCUUAAAGACUACUGGCAGCUCUGUUUUUUACAGUAAAGUUUUCUAUGUUCUUGGACAUGCCUGCAAGUUGUCCAAGAAAAAUAUACAAAUUUUCUAAUGACUUGAGUACACUUUGUUUUGGGUGAAUAUGUUGUUGCUAAAUAUUUUAGUCUGGGAUUUGACCUAUUUUGUAGAUUUGUCAUCUUACGGCAAAUUUUAUCCCAUUUUAUGUUUCCAAAUACAAAAAAAUCCAUAUUGUUUUUUCACUGAGAACCAGCCAAAGCAUCGCCUUACAAUCAUCUUCUGUUCCUGCAUGCUCAUGAGCUCUGCAAUUAGACAGUAUUAGCCAAACAGGGCAGAAUCAACAUUAUCUCAGAAUUUCUUUGAUUCUGGAGAUGUAGGUCAGACCAACUUUUAUGAAAUGAGGUUUAGUGGUUUCAUUUAAUUUUUCAUUGUACUCUCUCCUUCUCUCUCUCUCUCUCUCAAAAAAAAAAAAAAAAAGUUUAAAAGGAAAAAGAUGUUGCUGAUACAGGCAAAAAUAGGAAAGCUGGACUGAUGGACUCAGGGAGGAAUAAAAGAUGAGUGUGUUUGGCAAAGCACUCAUGUGGAAGAGCUCUGCUAGGGAUGAUGAGAGAUUUCUGUGGAGCCAGCCCUGGAAGAAUGAAUCCGUGCAGAGAAGAGAGGCAAGCCAGGGAAGAAGUGUUUGAGGGAAGAUCUAAAAAAGAUGACAUGUACUAAUGGCUCUGUGGAUGCAACCCACUGCAAACUGCAGUGGCCCUGCCACAGAAACAUAAAUUGCAGUGGCCCUGCCACAGAAACAUUAACUGCCAAUACAUGUGUUAAUCUUCCAGACGCCUUGUAGGGGUUUAGAGGGGAAAAAACUAAUGCAGAGAAGCAGCUUCAGGUAGUGCUCAGUAGGGACCUGUUUAAUGUGGAUAUUGGGAAAAAGCUAUGAAUAACUGACAGAAUUGCUACUUGGAAAGAUACAUAAGCAUUGCUCGGUGCAAUGUCUAUUUCUACUUGUCUGAAAGGUGUGUAGCUCAGGGCCAUGCGGUCACUUCCACCAGACCAUCGCCAUAUUCGGAGAAUAUGCCUUAUGCCUUUUCAGUCUCCAAGAUUCAGCUGCUUCACUCUGGGAUGCAGAAAGGCACCUGCAUUGUGGGAGAAAUCGGCGCUCUGAGUCUGACUGCAGGCAGGGCCAUGACUGUCAAGUGAUCUUUUGUGAUACAGGGGACAGGGGACAGUUUCUCCCCACCCUCACACAGCUUCCCAGCUUGCACAUGGAAGUAAACACCACUUGGAGCGAAGCGAAAUGCAAACACUUUCCUCCUUUUAAGUAGUUUAGCAAAUGGUCUAGAGAAAGGAGCACAGUACAGAGUCAUUCAACAUUAGUUUGUUGAUUCAGAUGCGACCUGCAAGAAGUUGACAGAAUUAUUGCUGGCAAAAGCCCACUUGGCAGCCUACAGAGAAGCCUUGUUUAUAUUUCAUUCUAUGGAAGUGGCCAUGGCUGCUGAUCUCCAUUCCCAGACCCUGCUGAUGGUGGGGUUAACAGAUGUCCUCACUUGCAGCAGGCUGAGGGCACACUGUUUUGAGGCUCCAGCACCUGCGUCUGCAUGCAGAGGCUGAGGCUCAGUGUGUCUUGGUGUCACAGUGCUGACUGCCAUGCAUCUUCACUACAACCCAAAGGCCCUAGUGGGAACAUAAUUGGUGUUCAUGUCCCUGCUUGGCUGUGAGGCCUUGGGUUGAGGCACACAGGCAGUCGCUGCCUUCUCUGGCAGGUUUGGCAGCCUGUGCUGCAUGCUCUGCUGCCCCAGCCAGUGCUGGCUCUUGGUGGACCUGGCUUAAACUGGCUUGGAGAGGCCCACACCAUACUUCAGCUGCUGGGGAUUGCAUCCUCUAAGCCUGUCUUCAGUCACAGCCAGACUGAAGGUAGGGAAAAGGUAGGGAAAAGGGAUUUGUAGUUAAUGUUGGUAUAACUACAGAAGCAAAGAGGCCUGUGUGAGCUCCCAUUUUGCUGUUUUUGCUGCCCUGCACAAGGAAGCAUAUGCUGCCCUGCACAAGGAAGCAUAUGCAGCCCUGCACAGGGCUGGUUCCUUCACUCCCAGCCCAACAUUCCCAUGCCUACAUGGGCACAGCAGCUCUCAGGCUGGAUCCUGCACCACCAGCCUGGAGCUGACCCCAGUACAGCACCUCGGGCUUGUUUUCAUGGCCUAGGGAAACAUGAUGGGACAUUUGCAGGCUGGAGAGAGCUGGGCCCUGCUUAGCAGCCCCUCCCACUACUGCUCUGCAUACAACACAUACCCAUAUAUAUGUUCAUCUAUCUCACGGAUGGAUGUGGGCCAUACCCAGCAAUCAGUAUUCAGUUCUUAAAUCCCAGCUACUUAAACCUCAGUGCUUUGGCAAUUUGAAAUUUAAACUCUGUAAGAGGUGCAUCUCUUUUUAGAAAAGGAAAUACCUCCCAGCAUAGCAUGUUUGAUAUUCAGAUAUAAAUAGAAAUUUCACACCUUCAAACCUUCUGUCCUGCAACUCUUUACAGCAUGACAUGUAUGUUUUUCCCUUUUUUGCCUUUCUGGAUCAGUAUGAACAUCUUAAAUACUUAUAAGACACUUAAAUAUAAGACUACACUCUACAAAUAUCAUCUGGAAAAAAUACCAGGGAAGAAGUUAAGCCAAAGACAAUGCUAGUAAAACCAAUGAGUAGGAAGGGGCCCAGAAUAAAAGUACAUUAGAAAUUAAAGUUUUUCUGGUAUCAGAGGACUGUAACUGUGGAGCCACUUUUCUGUAAGUAACCAUCGGUUAAGUGUUGGCUAAUUUUGCUCAGUCCUUAUGGAAAGGAAUAGAUGAUGUGAUUGCCCAAGUCACACAACCCCAAGCCUAUCUGCUGUGUUCAUAAUGGUGCAGCCAGGAUUGUCUAGUAUAGUGUUUUUCAGGAGUCUUACAGCAAAAUGGAUGGCUUCUCCCUGUCCAGUCUGUUUCUGUGACCUGUACAGCUCUUAACUGAAAUUCUCCUUCAUUUUUUUAAUUUGUAUUGUGCUGUAGAUUUUUAUUAUUCUUGAUCAAUUUCAGAUGCUGCUCGUUACACCCACAGCAAACUAAACAGAAGAGGAGCCUUCAAUCAAAGUUGCUGGAUUCUGGAUAACUUGUGAAGAUUCAUUGUUUUUUAUCCAGUUAAAAACCUCUGAGUGCUUUGCAGCAAUGUUAUUACUGGACUGCUUGCUUCCAUAUGAACAUUACCAAAUUAUUGUCAUAUGUCCAAAUGAUUAACUCAGCUUCUGCCUGCCUUCUUUUUAUUUUCUUUUAGGUUACUACCAAAAUUUCUUAAAUAUGUACUCAAGUCAGUGAGCUUAUGAGCUAAUGCUCAAAGAGGGGACUUCUUGGGAAGUAAGGAGGGCUCAGUAAGAUCUUUUUAGCCUCUUUUUGAUUAGACACAAGCCUGAUCUGAAACCAUAGUGACAGCCUUGUAGAAUGAUGUCUUGAAGGACAAGCUGAGAACUAAUUGGAAGAUGGACACCGAAGGGUUCAUGCAUAGGGAUGACCUCUGGGCUGUGGAUAUGUGCGGUGCUGCCUUCAAAGCCAUUUGGUCCUCAUAUGUUCUUUCAUGGAACUGAACUGGGACUCCUCCAGAAGUACAGAGUAAAAUGUUCACACCAUAAUCACAAGAUGGAAGAAGAUGGUAUUUUUCAGGCACUUGGGCAUAUGCAUUUGUUCCCUACAACACAUUUUCCAUACUCAAAAAAGGGUUAAUGACUUCUCUUCAGUUGCUAGGUAAUUCUGUCUUGUCACUGGGACAACUUACUAGUUAGUGACAGCUUUUCUGAUGAUGUAAUGCUUAAAUAGUAAUUGUGGAGUGCAUUAAAUUACAUUUUUAUUUUUCUUGCUUUCUUUAGAAAGCUGGGAAAUGAAACAUAAAAUUCUGCAGCAUUGUGAUAUUGUGGCUGCAUGGAUAAAUCAGCCAAAUGCCAGAAAAUACAGAAGCUGAACAUUAGUCUAAAGAGACAUCUUCAGCUCUGAGAGAGUGAGCUCUCUGGAUAAUGGACUUUAUUACAGCCUUUGGUAUGAAGUACUGUUGCUUCAUAGUUCUUGGACCAAUGUAGUUUGGAAUGAUUCGUUCAAGUAAUGGGCCACUGUAAUAAUACAUAUGGAAAAUUCAGAUGGGCUUUGUAGCAGUUAAAAACUCCUUUGCUCAUUCUCAUUUUAUUUUUCAUAUUUCAGUUUAAUUCAGCAAUUGGAGCCACUCUCAUAAAACAACAAGCACUGUUUGGAUUUAAAUUACUUUUGGACUCAGACCAAAUUGCUCAAAAACACAUGCGGGCUGAGGUGCAGCCAAAACUCAUGCAUUCAGGUCAGCUCCAGAGGUGCAUUCUUUGGAAUAUCAGAUUUGGAAUAAUUGCUAAUUUGUUCCCAGGUAACAGGAAAACACAUUAAAGUGAGUAAAACUAUUAAACAAACAUUUCCUUCUCAUUUCUGUUCAUUUCAUUCAGCCAAAUGAUCCAACCCAGAUCACUCCUUUCCUAGCCUGGGAAGUAAGGAGGAGGGAACUGAGUCUCACUGAGGCUUUGCACCCUUAAAAUCCAGAGGGCUGGAGAGAUUGUCAGCCUCAGCUGUGGUGCACUCCACCAGUGCCUGAUCCCUCACCUUCCUUGGGCCCUCUUUUUCUUUUUUUUUUGUCUUUAUGGGAUCAUCCAGGAAACCUUUAGUGACCAUGCAGAGCUAUACUCUCACUAAAACUUAUGCAAGUGUGCUGAUCUCAGCAGAUGUGCUUGAAUGUUGCUGAGAGUAGCAGUCUCAGCCACCAACAGUGGCAAUCCAGCAUCUGUGUGUUUCCCAUCUGUCAAAGUAAAAUGUCCUGUUCUGGGCUCUUGCUACUGCAAACUGUCUCCUCAGUUGAAAUGUGCAAGGAGACUAUUAGCUCUCUGAGAUGAGUGUAGGGUUCACUUCCAGGACAGCACAAGAAGUUGAAGGGCUUUAGCACCCAGCUUUUUUGUGCCACCAAGGAAACUAGCAAGAAUACAGCAUGCAGGCUGAAAGGAUAAGGGAAAUCACUGUAUGCUUAUGGGAGCCUGGUUGCAUUUUGGGACAUGCAGUCUUAAUAACGAUGGAUGCUGUAUUGAAAGUAAUACAUGAGGUGAGAUUAUUCUUGUAUUCAGGUUCAGGUGAGAUUAUUCUUGUAUUCAGGUUCAGCAUAGAUAUUAUUUACCAACACUGCAAUGCACAGUAAUUACUGGAAAGUUUUCCUACAUCAGAGCAUUCAAAUAAUUGUGGUAUGCCAUCUACUUAUAUGAAAAAGCAGUAGUAGGAAAAUACCUGGUUACAGACUGUGAACCACCUUAGAUAGAUAGAUUUUAUUAUACUACAUUUUCAGCCUGUACAUAUGUAGUUAUACUAGGACAAGGACUGAUGGAUCACUGUGGAUGGUGUUACCAGGUACAUUUGAUUUCAUUUGAUGAGAUAGGAGGUUUCAUCCUAUUCAAUCACCUACCUCAUCUCAAAAGACACAAUCCCCUUACAGUGAUGUGUAACAUACAGAGCAUCAUCCAGGCCAAGGCAGAGUGCAGUGCUUCAGAGCCAUCCCAUUUUGCACCAGUGUUUUUCCCAACACAAAGCAGGUGGUAGGAACAAGCCUGUCACAUCACUGUGCUGCAUCCUGAGGUGUCACAUCCAUCCCUGAGAGCUACCAGAGAUGUGUUCAUGUGAUGGAGCCUGAUCUGUGGCUGUGCUUAUUUCUUCACAUCCAGAUCCAUCAUUGACAGUGGUGCCUUGUCUGGGCAUGCGAAACAUUUGAGACAGUAAUAGAAGCAUUGAAUGUAGUAAGGGAAGAAGAUUUAGCCCCACAAAUUGAGGCUUGCAGUGAUCAUCCUUGGACCUUUCAACAAAUUCCCAACAAAGUCUAAUAUAGGACAAAAGAGACUGCAUGACAUUACUGCUGAAAAUUAAACUAUUACUUUGGUAUUCUUUUAAAACACUUUAUCUUCUAUGGAUCAGUGCUCUCCACAAAAAUUAGUUACAGCAGCAUACACUUAUAAGCACGUUGACUGAGUUCCCUGCCUGCAAUCCCAGCAAUUUUUGUUACCCUUACCUUACAAAGAAUGGGCAUAUCAUGAAAACAGCCUGGCUGCCUGCCUGCCCUCAUCCAAAUAUAAGACUUGGCACAAAGUGUGGCCGCAAAUUAUUAACCCCCUCUGUAAUGCACUCUGAAAUUAAAUGUUAGUUCACAUUUAAGCUUAUGGUCAAACCAUGAGUAAGUGGGUACCACCUACAAUGCUUCUGGCAGUGCUUCUCACAGUGCCUUGUGUGCAGCUCCUGCAUCUGGGCAUCUCCUCUUCCGCUUCCACCAUGACAUCAUGAUGCCAUGACACCAUGAGGAGUGGUGUCCAUCUGACAUGGAAAACAACAGCAGCCAGGCUCUUCUGGAUAUUGCUUCACUUGAAAUUGCUGGACAUAGCCCAUUUGCACCCUCCAGGUCUAAUUCUAGAAUAGGGACAAGUGUUUCUUCCUCCUUUCAGUUCAUCAAGCUCCUCAUGCAGUAGCUGUGUCUGAAGGCUCAGAACUGGGUUCAUGACAGGUUGUUUCUAUUCUGUACAUGCGCUGGCACAUUCUCAUCCAGCGGCAGCAAAGGUUUGUUUCUGCAUUUUCCCUCCUCAAUAACUCUAUAAUUUGGGAAGCAGAUUUCAUUUUGCUUAUUCUGUCCAACUGUUUAUUAUGCUGGAUUUCUAAGGCACUUAUGCUUGGCUCGGUGAUUCCUCAGAAAGGGAAUGGUGCCUAUUAUUAUAGUUAACCCUGUAAAUUGUCUAAUGAAUAAUUAAAUACCAUGUUGUCUGUAAUUCAGCUUUGUUGGUUUGGUCAGUCAAUUGCUGGUUACUGCUCCUCUCAGACAAAAACCUUGCUGUGAAGCUUAUUUAAAAUUCAGCAUUUGCUAAUUAGCAUUGUUCCAAAUGUAAUUCUAAGUGCCACUUCUUCAGGCAAUUCAAGAGAGCAAUGUAGAACUUCAGUGUCUCUAUGGAUACCAUCUAUAAUUUAAAAGAUAGAAACAACAAUUUAAUGCCUUGUAAUACUUCAAAAAUCACCAGUAUCUCUUUCCAAAAUACCCCCAAAAUACAAAUAUAGAAGGGACUAAGGACUGUGCCCCAUUAGUAUAUGAAGCCAAUUUGUUGAAGAUCACUGAAUAGUGACAGAGAUGAUUCACUGAAACUAGUUGAGGGCUGAGUUAAAACACUAGGAUUAGUCUCAGGGGUUUAAAUUAAAUACUGAAUAAAUAUUUAAAAUGCAAAAGAUCAAAUCGUUAGGCACAUGUGCCAGCUGUAGGAAGGCAAAAGCAUUUUGUUGGAUUUAUGCACAGCAAGACCAAGAAAUGAAUUCAACAGCCCUGCUAACCAUCUGGCUCCCAGGAUUGUAAGCCAUGACUGAUCAUAAUUUCCAGAGCAGACAGAAGAGGGUUUGAUCACCUGCACUGGGCAUUGUGCCUCCAGCAACACCUUGUGAUGCUUCAGAGAAAAACACUGGGCAUGACAGAAAGGCAAGGUCUCCUGUAAAUAAACAACAACCACAAAGGCAAGAUCUGAUGAGCAAUGCGAGAUGCGAGAUGUACGUAUAAAGCUGGACCUCCUUCUGCACGUAAGUAUUAUGGCUGAUCAAAAGCUCAUCCAGGAGCUGGUUGGGAAGAGGAACAGAGGAUAGAGACAUAUACAGCUCUUGCGUCUCUCAGGGCUUGAAGACAUUAGGAUGCCUCCCAUAGAUAGGGUAGACAAAAGGGCUGAGUUCAAUGCAAGAAAAACAUGCAGGAAGCAAAAGUCAUGCAAAGCUUGGUAUGUGUGCUGCAGGUCGUGGUGGCACCAACCCUGGGCAUGGAGGAUGGCUUCGCCCUGGGCCAGGUGAGAUGGCAGGUAGCAGAGUGUUAAGUUUGACAAGAACACCAAAGAGUCAAUUAAAUCAGCUGGGAGAGAAAGGUAAUGUGGGGAAGGAGGAAGAGAUGGAUGAGAGGCAGUGGCCAUACGUUGCACCAGGGGAGGUUCAGGUUGGAUGUGAGGAAAAAUUUACUCUCAGAAAGAGUG